rnacentral:rRNA from 1 species
ACGUAGGGAGCAAGCGUUGUCCGGAUUCACUGGGUGUAAAGGGUGCGCAGGCGGGUUGGUAAGUCAGAGGUGAAAUCUCACGGCUCAACCGUGAAACGGCCUUUGAUACUGCCAAUCUUGAGUUCGGGAGAGGUUGAUGGAAUUCCAGGUGUAGCGGUGAAAUGCGUAGAUAUCUGGAAGAACACCAGUGGCGAAGGCGGUCAACUGGCCCGUAACUGACGCUCAGGCACGAAAGCGUGGGUAGCGAACAGGAUUAGAUACCCUGGUAGUCCACGCCCUAAACGAUGAAUACUUGGUGUUGGAUCUUUUGAUUCAGUGCCGUAGGUAACCUGGUAAGUAUUCCACCUGGGGAGUACGCUCGCAAGGGUG